rnacentral:lncRNA from 1 species
GGCUGCAGUUUGAAGCUUUUGCCGAUUUCCGGCGAUUCCGGCCACCUCCGGUCCCCAUCUCGCCGUCGAAGCUUGGAAAUGGAUUUGGAGGACGUGAGGAGGAUUUCCUCGAGGAGGGUUUGGAUCGACGGCAGGCUUAGCCGUACUUUAUCACAGUGUUGUUGACCGGCAUAGGAGUGGAGGCUAGUACCACCUUUGUCAUCCAUUCUCAGUAGGUUAUU